AACGAACGCUGGCGGCAUGCCUAACACAUGCAAGUCGAACGAGACCUUCGGGUCGAGUGGCGCACGGGUGCGUAACGCGUGGGAACCUGCCCUUAGGUUCGGAAUAACUCCCCGAAAGGGGUGCUAAUACCGGAUAAUGUCUUCGUACCAAAGAUUUAUCGCCUUUGGAUGGGCCCGCGUUGGAUUAGCUUGUUGGUAGGGUAGGGGCCUACCAAGGCGACGAUGCAUAGCUGGUCUGAGAGGAUGAUCAGCCACACUGGGACUGAGAAACGGCCCAGACCCCUACGGGAGGCGGCAGGGGGGAGUAGUGAAUAAUGGGCGGAGGCCGGAUGCAGCAACGCCGAGUGCGGGGUGAGGGAAGUCGGGUUGGGGGUCGCAUUCAUCAGGGGCGAAGCUUGUGAUGACGGUACCUGCAGAAGAAGCACCGGCUAACUACGUG
rnacentral:rRNA from 1 species